GCAUGGGUGGUUCAAUGGUAGAAUUCUCACCUGCCACGCGGGAGGCCCAGGGUUCGAUUCCCGGCCCAUGCA